rnacentral:rRNA from 1 species
UACGUGGGGGGCCAGCGUUGCUCGGAAUUACUGGGCGUAAAGGGUCCGUAGGCGGUGUGGUAAGUCGAUAGUGAAAUCUCUGGGCUUAACCCAGAGGCUGCUAACGAAACUACCAUGCUAGAGUGUGAGAGAGGCGAGUGGAAUUACGGGUGUAGCGGUGAAAUGCGUAGAUAUCCGUAGGAACAUCCGAGGCGAAAGCGGCUCGCUGGAUCACAACUGACGCUGAGGGACGAAAGCUAGGGGAGCAAACAGG